CUGCUUCAGGCUCCUUUGUCUAUCAAUUAACAGAUAUAUCAUCUUCACUUGAAAUGGUACUUCACUUUAAAGAUUUUGUUUCUCAUUAUGCUCCUUUAAAUGUCUUCAAGUAUUGGCAAAUCUUAUGGACUAAUUCUAGUCAGCUGCUCACCAGCUGAGCUCUUUCGACCCUUCUAAGACCUAUAAAACGGUAAACCUUUGCCAUUGUUUUGGGGAAGGUGUUUUUGUUUUACAUUUCAGCCUUAGCAGGCUAUGUAUUGUCACUUCCAGCUUCAGCCUGAUACCCUGUACAUAAUGCUUGAUGGAAGGAGCAUUGCUUCAUAUUCAAAUCUAUUAAUUUUAAUGCAUCAGUAUUGCCACUGUGAUAGUUUUUAGGCUCUGGAGAAAAGAGGGGAGCGGAAAGAUACAAGUGUCAUAAAUGUCGUUUUAUUUUGAAGGCUGGUGUGUUUUUUGUCCUUUUUGCUACUAACAUGAGCUUCCAAGCUAAACCAUUUUCACAGAAUCUGUGUACUUUUGUAAUGUGUCAAGUGAAAUGCAGCAUUCAGUGUGAGUCUUAAUGGCUUUUUGUCCUAAAAUUACAACAGCCCCCUACUACAUGUGUUAAGAUGAUCAUAAAUUCCAGCUACCACUGAUUAAUCUAUGGAAGAAAUCAAGUGCUCUAGAAUUACAAUGACUUCAUUAGAUAAGCAAAAUAAAAAUGUCUCCCCAGACAUGGGGGAGUAAUUGGUUGCAAGGGUAUAGGAGGGAAUAAUAGUUACCUUGAUGUGUAAAUACUAACUUGUCUUUUUCUUUAUUUUAGGCUGCACGUUCUUUUUCAAUUUCUGCAAAAUGAAUGGGUGUAGUUGACAAGAGGCAUGUAUUUAAGGUGCUGGUAGAGAGAAAACUCGAAGAAAAUCCUACCACUUUGACUUAUAAGGGUGGAAAUACACUUAAACAACUGGAAGCUCAUCUUUGUCUUUACAGAUACAAAAAGAGUAAAAGUGAGAAUGGAAUGGACCAGGAAAAGUAUUUGUUUUGUGCUGGCCUCAUGGUACAAGAUCUACAGGUAAAAUAGAUUGAGAUUAUUCUGCAGACACAAGAAAAGCUUACACCAUCUCCUGUGGUUUGACCUGGAAGAUUAUUUUGCAGUUUCCAUUCCUAAUAAGUAACAGAUCAGUUGUAUACUGGAAUUGACAACAUGGGUUUUAAACCAGCUUCAGAUGAUCCUGGGCUGGGAAAUUGGUCCCGCUGAGCUUUCCUAGGAUUAUGGGUUAUGCUGGCCCAGCUAAACCUAAGGAAUUUAGUUAAGGAAUUUACAAGUUCCAGUUUAAUCUUCUCAAGCCAUUUGUGACUGUUCAUUCCCAAAGCUGCCUUACUUACCUUGUCCCACAAUUAAAAUAGCUCUCCCUUCUCCUCCAAGAUAUUGCCACAACCCCUAGACACAGUGGUUCCCAGGUAUAUCAUGCAGCAGGGCAGUGUGUCAGUGGAGUGAAGACCAACUCUCACAAUGCAGUACAUGUCUCUUAACCAAGUCUUUUCCAUUUGUAGAACACAUUGGUGAAUGAAGGUCAGCAGAAAUCUGCCUCUAGGGUAAUUUCCAGCUGCCCUCUGUAAAUGGUAGUACUUCUAUUUUGUGCUUGCCAAAUCCACGUGUCUUAGAACUAUUUCUUUCCAAACAUCUUUGAUAACAGCACAAAGCUUUCAAGCAUGCUUAUUAAUGGAAACUUUAAAAACUUUUAUUCAUUUUUAUGCAGGGACUUGAAGCUAAAUUCUGUUUGAACACUUUAUAUGUAUCAGAUUAACCUCACGGUGCUCAGUGAAGCUGCAUGAGAUUUAUGACAUCAUUACUGAAAAGAUAAUUUGGUCUCUGGCCAGCAGGAAUGCAAUGUGUCAUAUGAAACAUAAGCCAGUAGGGAGAAUCCAUUUCUGGUUGAAGCCGUUCAUGUAGAAUGAGUCAAGUGCCAAGAAAAGUUCAGGACUUUUCUAAAAUAUUUUGACUUUGGGUCAUACUUUUACUUUUAACCUCUAAGUAGUUUAAUUAUAGAGUAAUAGUGGACACAGAUAUUUACAAAUAAAUUGUUCUUUCCUCUGAUCUCA
rnacentral:lncRNA from 1 species